UACGUAGGUGGCAAGCGCUGUCCGGAAUUACUGGGUGUAAAGCGCGUGUAGGCGGGAGGCCAAGUCUGCUGUGAAAUCGCUCGGCUCAACUGGGCGGGGUCGGUGGAAACUGGUCACCUGGAGGACGGUAGAGGCGAGUGGAAUUCCCGGUGUAGUGGUGAAAUGCGUAGAUAUCGGGAGGAACACCAGUGGCGAAGGCGACUACCUGGCCUGUUCUUGACGCUGAGGCGCGAAAGCUAGGGGAGCAAACGGG
rnacentral:rRNA from 1 species